rnacentral:rRNA from 1 species
UACAGAGGUCUCAAGCGUUGUUCGGAUUCAUUGGGCGUAAAGGGCGCGUAGGCGGCGGGGUAAGUCGGGUGUGAAAUCUCAGAGCUCAACUCUGAAAUGGCACUUGAUACUGCUCUGCUAGAGGACUGGAGAGGAGAUUGGAAUUCACGGUGUAGCAGUGAAAUGCGUAGAUAUCGUGAGGAAGACCGGUGGCGAAGGCGGAUCUCUGGACAGUUCCUGACGCUGAGGCGCGAAAGCGUGGGGAGCGAACAGG